UUAGAAUUUGCAUGUUGUUCUUUGUAAAUUAUUGAGUGAUUUGUCAUGUUGCAAAUGCUUAAAUGGUUGCAACAGCAGCCUCAAGGUGUGUUGCAAUUAGUGGUGCCACAGUUACUUGGAAAUGCUUUUGCGUGUUGUGCUGAGAUGCAUUAAGCAGAACAGAGAAUGCCGUCGUUCCCGUCUGUUUGCAUACAUUUUGUUUUGGUUUGUUUUUGGCUGUGCUUUGGACAGGGAUCAGCAUGUACAGUAUGCACUAAGUGUGGUUUUGAGAUGUAAAUAAGAUAAGCGUGAGAUAAAGAUCACAGCUGGUUUAUAUCAUAGCUAUAAUAAACCUUGGUUUCCUGUCUGGUGUGAUGAUCUGGUGGUUGACACAAGAGCAAACUUUCCCCUCCAUCAAACGUCUGCACUCCGGCUUUGGUGAGCUGGCCGGCUGCCAGUUAAUGAAUAGGCUCGUAUUUACUUAACUAGCAAGAAAAUUGCACUUUUUUGACUAUCCACUUGGUGUGACCCUAUUCACUACGGCGCUGCUCUGAUGAUCAAACUGGAACACUUGGUACUCAUCUCUUCUGGAAAUGGGGGCACUAAACUGACUGUACAAUGGAAAGCGAAACACAGCGCAGCCAUUGCGUAGCAUACCAGAAACUCUGAGGUGAAGAAUGAAGCGAACGUAAACAUGCCAAAACCUGAAGUUGCCACGUGAGACUGGCUCUGCAGUUAAGCCAGUUCCUGUACGGGGUCAAUGUUAAAAAAAGCCCUGACUGGUGACCUGUCCAGGGUCCAGGGUGCCUGCUGCCUCUUGCCCUGUGGUAGCUAGGAUAGGCUCCAGCCCUCUCCAACGACCCCAAUAGGGACAAGUGCAACAAAACGCAUGGAUGGAUGGUAGCUAUACCUAACAUUACAUACCUAACAUUUCUCUUCAUAACAAGUUUCUCUCUUUUAUCUUAUCCUUUCUUUAUUUUAGUAAGACUUUGGGUCACACUGUAUUUGGGGUGCUGGUGCCUUUUUACCUUUUGCUGUGCUGAAAAUCUGCAGUAACAGAUGAUCCAGAUCCAGAAGUCUGUGCUCCAGUUAUGGUGAGUGAAUUUCUACAAUUUUAUUUUGACUUGGUUUACGAUCCGUCUCCAAAAACCGGAUCCUGCUCACCACGCUACAGUGAACAGGUACGGACCACCAGGUGAGAAGGCUAGUGCUAAUAAAACCCACAGUUUUCUUAGUUUGCACUGUAAGAGAAGCCAUUUACAGUUUAUCUUGCAUUUGCUUUUAAAACAUUGGUGCGGGUGGUGACCCCCUUAUUAAAUCCAGCUAAAAUUUAGUACAUUUCGUCAUGAGAAGGUUAGCACAAGGGUCUGUAGGGAUGUCUACAUGCCUGCCUUUCCAAUAAGAACCUGGCAUGGUGAUCAUAAAGACAUCAUGCCAGUGUCUUCAUGAGGUAAUCUGUACUCACUGUCACUGAUAAAGUGUGAUUGAUGUGUAAAAUAUGUGCAUUGCACCUUUAUAAUAUUAUAUAUUUAACUUAUGGCACUUUGUCAUUUAUCCAGGUUUUCUGCUCCCAGAAAACAUAAACACACACCACCCAAUAACAACUGGUGCUGUGGGUCCACGUGACGGGGCCAGCAUCGUAAUUCUUAUGCAGCAUGAACAACUUUCCAAGUGUUUAUGUCAGGCGGUUAGGACAUGUUUAUACAGUUGCCCCCAAAAUAUCCACGUUUCAUUUUGUUGAGUUGUAGCUGGAAAAUUGAGAAUUUAACUUUGAUAAUGAUGCGGUGCAGUGACAGUGCAGUUUAAGCCAAAGUCAAAGGCAGGUUAACUGCUAAGAGCAGAAAUUACGAUGGUUACACAAUCAUGCCGCACACUACAAGUUGUGCAGUUUAUCACAUGCAAGUCCUUUGUGUUCCCCCUCGAGUCCUCUCCUGAUUUAAAAUAAAUGUUAGUAAGGGGGUAUUUCAAGGCUGUGACCUCCCAGAGGUUUCUUUGACGUGUUUCCAGCCUUAACGACUUUGUGAUGGUAAGUGUGCAGUAACGAUCGGUAAAGUUCAGCUUUUUGACAUGACCUCCGCUCUUUGUUCUUUUUCCAGUAAAAACAGGGUCUGUGAAUCGUACAAUAUGGUAUAAUAUGACGAGUGAGCAAGAGCUGACGGGUUUCUCUGAGUGAUCUGUUUAAGAGCAGGUGUCUGUGGUAACAAUAGAGCGAGCGUUGAGGGGAGGGGAGGUAUCCGUGGUUUUAACCCACAUAUCCUAUUAUAAAAGUCUCAGGAAAAAAAAAACCUUAAACAACACAUGAAUAGCACAUGAAAUCCCCUGGACAGACACAAAACAAAUGACAUUCACAGGCGCUGAGUCUAUUUAUUUUGAAGUCAAUGCGUUCUCUGUCUAAUCUAAAAAUACGCAAAUAUGCAAAGAAACCCACAUGCCUGGAUGUGAGAGUGGUGGGUGAGAUCAAUAGUGGUUUUAAACAGCCAUCUCACUCCCACAGACUUCCUCUUUAUCCUGUAUGUAUCACCAAGUUAUCCUGUAGGAUGGACAUAUUCAAACAGGCCCUGUUUCUGGGCUUACUAUAGACUAUGGGCGUUGCUACGCUAGAGCUAGGCCUGAAUGUGUAGAAUUAAAAUGAAGAAGGCAAACUUAAAAGCCAACAAGAACAACCUGAGCUUCUUUUCUCCUAAGCUGAGGAAGUGAACAUGUCUCAGUCUGUGUCACAGGACUGCAUGAAACCCAAACCCUGUUUUUCUUUUUCAAAGCCCCCUCUGGCUUUCGCGCCUGCUUUUGCAGAGCCUCUCUCAGUACAUGCCAGCAGGCGUAUUCAGACAGGUUUUCCAAGUAGGCUUUAUCAACCGUGCCUUGUGUCCUGUCCUUGUAUCAUCCUCUGCAGUCUCGUGCGCAGUGAUCUCAUCAUGUGUACUUCCAGUGCCAAAUGUACAGUGAUGCAGCUGAGACGCCUUACUCAUAAGCUGAGUGAGUGCUACUUUAGUCAUUGCACCUCAGGCUUUAACUGGAGGAUCAGCUCCUGUUUAUGCUGCUUUUUUUUUUUUUUUUUUACAAAGUUGACUGAUAAUUAAAUAGUUUUCAUUACCAGAAGUCAAUGUAUUAAAGUGUAGGCUUAAUUUGUGGUAACUUUGAGGCACUGACAGCUGCAAAUACAACAAAACCUUGUAAAAGCUUUUAGCUCUCUAGCUAGGCCUCAGCUAUGCUCCUCUACAGUCACCAACAAAUGUUACUUUGCUUUCUAACUGCUUUAAGAAAAAUGGCAUGAAAAGAACAAUGAAAAUAAGAAUAAGAAAAUCUAGUGAGCUAAUUGCUAAGCUAACUCAAAUAUGCCCCCAGUGCUAGCUUGGCUUAGCACAAGCUCAGGUCAGCUAACAGUAUUAGCCAGUUUUAUAGACAUGAAUUAAGCUUAGUCCUAGACUUUGAAUAAAACGUUUAGUUUAAGACCAUGUUUAAGCCAUGUCUGGAAAACUGAGCUAAAGAGUAAUUACUGCCCCAGCAGCCUUGAUGACAACUACAAAGCUAAAUGAUAAUUACCUACAUAAACUAGCAUAAAGUUGCUAGCAUUGCAUAACUUUUUGCACUUCUUAAAACGAUUUGAUCAAAGUAUACAAAGCAGUAAUGUUGUGUGUGUGUGGCUUUUUUUUAAACGUUAUUAAAGUUCUCUGAAAAUUUCCCUUAUGUAUUUAUUAAAAAAAAACAAAACAGACAAAACAUGCGCCUUUCUCUUAAAUUUGUGUCAACAGUAAGAGACUAUUGCCUGCUACAGUCUGUAUUUCUAAUUUCAGCUGUCGAAGUCAGCGGGUCAUUUCUGAAAUGCAAUAAAGUGGAAAAACUGCACAAUACCAGGAGAAAGAGGGAUGGUAGAUACAAAAAAAACUGGAAAGCCCAUGUCAAGUAAUUUUGGAGGCCAUUAUUUGGUGGUGGCCUCAGUAAUAACAGACUGAAGUCAGUGAUCUCCUGAUGGCUUAGGAAGAGAGGAAACACCCUGCUGCAAUCGCAGCAAUGCCAACUGUACCGUGCAGCAGCGGCCAAACCAACUGGGCUUUGGACCAGUAUAUACACGAGGAUGAAAGAGAAAUAUCAAACCGGUGUCAGCAGCAUACAAGAAAAUUAUACUGUUGUGCUACCAAAUAUUAAGCACCCUUGAAGUGUGACCACUGCUUGAUAGAUUGCGGUGCGCUAAUAAGGAGAAAAUGAAAGAUCCCAGUUACCCCCCUAUAAAAAUCCCCCCUUUUUGCACACUUAUGUAUUCAUUAAUUGUGUAUCCACAUUGUCCGCAAAUGGAAAUCAUGCUCUCAUCGACCUUAUUUGGUUAUGUUAGAUAGGCAAACGGGAUUCGGAAUAAAUAGCUGUGAAGUCAGUGAAGGGAAUUCAAGGGGAAUUUGGAAUGAGAAAGCUGUUCCUGAAAAUUAUACAAACCAUACAAGGUGCUGGCGUGGCAGAAGCAUAGACCCUGGUUCGUUAAUUAACCUUAAUACACAUUCAGAUUUAAAAAAAAUACUUUCAAGCACCUAGAGAAUUCCUUUCGUCUCAUCCUCUGCCUGUUCCUUCAAGCUCUCUGACAUUCCCAGAGUGAGCUGCAUCCAGGAAAUCUAGCAGGGUUAUGAGCUUACAUGCAGUAUCCUUGGUCUGGGAAGAUUUAUUGCUAGCUUGAGGGUAAACUGAAUCUUCAAAACUGCCCCAUAACUGCAAGUUUGGCUUUCAUUUCAGCUGUGAGAUGUUAUGAAAAACUCAGGAAUGUGUUCACAGAGGACUGCUAGAGUGGAAUUUUUGCUGGGAAUUUCCCAGCAGCAUGAGCGUGCAUGCGCGCCGUGUGACUUUUAGCUCGUGUGAAACGGCUGUUGUCUCUGACUGAACACAAACACGCCAGCCUGACUCAGGUGCACGGCUCCGUUUCAGGAGAUAAAACAGGUGUGUGUCAGGUAAAAGGUGCCAGGCGAUGACUCCGGUUUAUAUGAGUGUUAUUACAGGUCGAUGAGUAAAAGUAAUUCUCUGUUCAAGAGGACAUCCUGUCCUCCAAAUCUAGCAACAAACUGCCCAGGCAAGCAUGCUUACUCAUUAAUGCCUCUGUUUUUAAUACCAAGAGUAGACUGUGCCUUUCAAAAUGCCCACAUGUGUUGGAGUUCAUAAAACUACAUGCUAAAAUUGAAAUUCUGCAGAGGCUGUAGACUACUGCUGACCUCCAGCAGCACCAAAGCUUACAGGCUGCAUCUCUCCUCUCUGAAAUCCCCCAAACUUUCCGCACGCCAAAAUCUAUUCUCCCCGCCGCCAAGAUAAUGGCCUUUUCAGGACUCCCGUGAUACACGCUCUGCUACAGAUCCACCGCAGCCGGUACUCUGGCUGCCUGGCAAGCAGCAGUUUACCGCGGCCAUGUGUUCCACCUAAUUACUUUUCCAGGGUAGAGCGCAGGGCAGCGUUAUACAGAUGAGACGUGGAGGGCUCGGCGGAUGGAAGAGGAGGCGCGGGGCAGCUUUCUGGGCCCAGAUGUGCACAGUAGCGGUCCGCCAGGCACACAUCUGCAAUCAUUUGAACCUACUAAGGGGAAUUCCUCUCUCACUGCAUGCCUCCGUGUGUUUUCGUCCCCCUGAAUCCUCAAGUCGGGACAAUGAAUUGGUCGACUGCUUCCCUCUGUUCUUCUUCUCAUGUUUCCCCCGUGUGUCAUGAUCGGCUUCCCCACAGACAGACAAACAGGCUGGUGUGGGAUCCUUUGUGUUAAGGAAAUUUAAAGGGAGGAUAAAAGAGCCAAAUCUUUUUCUGUAAAUAUACGGUACAGCGUCUAAAGCACAGACAUAACAAGCACUUAACUGUGAAGCUUUGUUUGGUACCGUGGGCUCUGAGUGCACCUCACCGCACGUCCUAUGACAAAGGAGGGAAAAAAGCAAAACAAGAAACGCUUUUCAGCCAUAAGUGUUUCAUCAAAGCAGCGAGCAGGAGACAGGACUCUGCUUGCCUGAAAACCCUCCAGAAAUGAAAAUAGCAAUUUUAGUUUAACGGCACUGCUAAGUGGGUUAAAUUUGACAAAGGGGGCUAAAAAUAUCUAUUGUUUUGCUGCUGCGUGGGUUGGCCGCAGCACAACAAAAGCAGGGAGUUUCCUCUCCUCCAGGAUGAUGGGAGAUUUCCUUGUAUUAGCAUUUUGAGACUCGGAACGGGAUGUUCUCGUUAACGCUGAUGCAGGUCAACGUAGUCUGCAGCUCUUCGCAUAACUCCUUUGGAACAGGGAGCACAAAAGGCGUCGAGUAAUACGAACCUGACUUUGUUUAAGAAAUCAGGGUCUGUUGUGUCUCUCUGGGCUUGGUUUGCUCCCAUUCUCCUUCUCACGUGGCCUUUAAUAAAACCUUACCACUUCCUUGAGAGUCACGCUCUCUAUUUAUUUGGCCUUCUUGUCUGUUAUUCCUUCAGGAACAUGUAGGUGACUGGGCACACCCUGGUUUGAGUAAAGUGGAUGCGGUAAAGACAUAUUUUUAUCCCGUCGUGGAAGGGCGUUCAAAACAGUGGCGCUUUGUCCACCAUGUCUUGUCACAUCUGUUUCUGUUAGCAGACAGGAAGCUACACUAUAAAUACCAGAGCUGACGUUCUUCUUUCAAGAUCAGUACAUCUCACUAUGAAAUGAAAAGAGUUUCAGAUGCUAUUUUUGUGCUAUGAAUUCCACAUUACUGAAAGCACGGGAGUGCUGCUGCACCCUGGAAAUGAAUGACAUUUAAAGCUGAACUCUGUUUCAUUUUUAUAAGAUCUCAGUUUGUGCUGUGACGUGUGCUGCUUAAUGAGAAUUAUGAUCUCCCUCUAUGGAAUCAGUUUAGCGUCCCGUAGCUUUUUUUUCUUAUAUCAUUUGCUUUAAACUUCCAGUUUUUAUUGAAUUCCUAUUAUUUUAAUUUGUCACUUUUCAGCAAGAAUCCAGUGAAGGAUGUUGCUUAUAUAAUUGUUCUUUACAGCUUGGUGUGCUGCACCCAGGAGAAAACCCAAAGUAAAGGAAAAAAUACAUUCCUAUUAACUAUUGUCAGUACCGGCCCUGUAUUUACUUGGGAUCAAUGCCAAAAUCUGGAGUAUUGCACACCACCACUUUUUAUACUCUUUAAAGUAACGUCCUAUUUGAAUAUGCUUUUUAGUUAUCUAACAUAGGAGGAGAAGUUUUACCUGUUAAUUUCUUAUUAUUGUCACGGCAGCCGAAAUGAAAUGAAUGAAGCGUGGACUCAAACACAGGCAAUCGGAGAUAAAGGGUGACGAUGAAAAGAAAGCGAGUUUUUAUUGAACUGAACAAAACUACAAAUUUAAGCAAAGAACGACUACAGGCGGCUAAAGGAACUGUUACUAGGAAAACUAAACACUACAUGAAGCCUGAAAACUGGAAACAAAAAUGUAGAAAACCUGGAAAUGUGAGGGGAAGGAGAGAAGAGGUAUCCAGAGGAGACACACAGGAUGACAAGCCAAGGCAACAUGGGGGAAAACGAGGGACAGAGAGAAGCACAAUUACACACAAGGUAAGGGAGACACAGCUGAGACAAAAAGUAACAGGACAUGGUGCACAGGGAGGACAUAAAGACAGACAACCAAGACUAAGCAUAGAACACACGGAGAACAGAAACCUAGAAACCAGGAACUCUAAGUAUCAUACAAACAGAAUAAUUCAGAGUAUAACUUAAACCAAACACACAAACACUGGGUCACCAGACUCAGGACCUUGACAAUUAUCAUGUUAUUUAUAGCACGUAUCAUUACAUUUGUGUACAACUGAGCUAUAGCAUGAAAAUAAGCACAGACUGUAUAUAAAAGAUGGAUGCAUCCACAGUGAUAUCACCCAGUAGCUUAUGGGCAGUCUCGACGUUUGCAUCGUAGCAAUUUACAUUUUGUUUCUUUGCAGAGCUGGAUGACCAUCAAAUAUGACCAUAUUUGAAUAAGAAUGCAGAUGGGUGACUAAUGCUAAUGCUAACUUGGUCAGCUAGGGCCAUGAUAUUAAAUGAUAGGCUAUGCUAACUUUGGUUUAACUUUAUGCUGCUGUUGUUGUCAUAACAGAUGAAAUAAGCUACAUAGUUUUGUAGCAGUCUGUACUCACUUUUAUUAUUAUUAUUAUUAUUAUUAUUAUUAUUAUUAUUAUUAUUAUUAUUAUUAUUAUUAUUUAAUUAAUUAAUUAAUUAAUUAAUUGGCUUUUCAGCUACAGAGUAUGUGACAUGGAAUAAAAUAAGAGGUACUAUGUGUUAUGUGCAAUAUGCAAUUCAAGCCCUAAUGUUUCAUCAAUACCCACUUUCACUGUAACUGACUGUCAAUCAGAAUUCAAGUCAGAAUGCCAGGGGAGAAGUUGCUUUGUUACACAUGCUCAAUUCAAUUCAAUUCAAUUCAAUUCAAUUCAAUUCAAUUCAAUUCAAUUCAAUUC